AACGAACGCUGGCGGCAGGCCUAACACAUGCAAGUCGAGCGCACCUUCGGGUGAGCGGCGGACGGGUUAGUAACGCGUGGGAACAUACCCUUUUCUACGGAAUAGCCUCGGGAAACUGAGAGUAAUACCGUAUAAGCCCUUCGGGGGAAAGAUUUAUCGGGAAAGGAUUGGCCCGCGUUAGAUUAGAUAGUUGGUGGGGUAAUGGCCUACCAAGUCUACGAUCUAUAGCUGGUUUUAGAGGAUGAUCAGCAACACUGGGACUGAGACACGGCCCAGACUCCUACGGGAGGCAGCAGUGGGAAUCUUAGACAAUGGGCGCAAGCCUGAUCUAGCCAUGCCGCGUGUGUGAUGAAGGUCUUAGGAUCGUAAAGCACUUUCGCCAGGGAUGGUAAUGACAGUACCUGGUAAAGAGACCCCGGCUAACUCCGUGCCAGCCG
rnacentral:rRNA from 1 species